CGCGGUAAUACGUAGGGUGCGAGCGUUAAUCGGAAUUACUGGGCGUAAAGCGAGCGCAGACGGUUAAUUAAGUCAGAUGUGAAAUCCCCGAGCUCAACUUGGGACGUGCAUUUGAAACUGGUUAACUAGAGUGUGUCAGAGGGAGGUAGAAUUCCACGUGUAGCAGUGAAAUGCGUAGAGAUGUGGAGGAAUACCGAUGGCGAAGGCAGCCUCCUGGGAUAACACUGACGUUCAUGCUCGAAAGCGUGGGUAGCAAACAGGAUUAGAUACCCUGGUAGUCCACGCCCUAAACGAUGACAAUUAGCUGUUGGGACACUAGAUGUCUUAGUAGCGAAGCUAACGCGUGAAAUUGUCCGCCUGGGGAGUACGGUCGCAAGAUUAAAACUCAAAGGAAUUGACGGGGACCCGCACAAGCGGUGGAUGAUGUGGAUUAAUUCGAUGCAACGCGAAGAACCUUACCUGGUCUUGACAUGUACGGAAUCUCUUAGAGAUAGGAGAGUGCCUUCGGGAACCGUAACACAGGUGCUGCAUGGCUGUCGUCAGCUCGUGUCGUGAGAUGUUGGGUUAAGUCCCGCAACGAGCGCAACCCUUGUCAUUAGUUGCCAUCAUUAAGUUGGGCACUCUAAUGAGACUGCCGGUGACAAACCGGAGGAAGGUGGGGAUGACGUCAAGUCCUCAUGGCCCUUAUGACCAGGGCUUCACACGUCAUACAAUGGUCGGUACAGAGGGUAGCGAANCCGCGAGGUGAAGCCAAUCUCAGAAAGCCGAUCGUAGUCCGGAUUGCACUCUGCAACUCGAGUGCAUGAAGUCGGAAUCGCUAGUAAUCGCAGGUCAGCAUACUGCGGUGAAUACGUUCCCGGGUCUUGUACACACCGCCCGUCACACCAUGGGAGUGGGGGAUACCAGAAUUGGGUAGACUAACCGCAAGGAGGUCGCUUAACACGGUAUGCUUCAUGACUGGGGUGAAGUCGUAACAAGGG
rnacentral:rRNA from 1 species